CGGUCCUGUUUAGUAUUUGGAUGGGAGACCACCUAGGAAUACUGGGCACUGUGCGCUAAAAAAAAAAAAAAAGGUGGCAACAUGACAGGACAAUUUUUCAGUUUAGGAGGGCCGUCCUAAGAAUAGGGCUGGCUCUUAAAGGCAUAAGAGGACAAU